rnacentral:misc_RNA from 1 species
UGGUUCUGGCAUCGAUGAAGAACGCAGCGAAAUGCGAUAAGUAAUGUGAAUUGCAGAAUUCAGUGAAUCAUCGAAUCUUUGAACGCACAUUGCGCCCAUUAGUAUUCUAGUGGGCAUGCCUGUUCGAGCGUCAUUUCAACCCUUAAGCCCCAGUUGCUUAGCGUUGGGAGCCUACCGAAUACCCUUCUGUAGCUCCUUAAAGUUAGUGGCGGAGUCGGUUUCACACUCUAGACGUAGUAAUUGUUAUCUCGCCUAUAGAUGAGCCGGUCCCCUGCCGUAAAACCCCCCAAUUUCUAAAGGUUGACCUCGGAUCAGGUAGGAAUACCCGCUGA